AAUUUAUUAUAAAUAUAUUUUAUACACCUUCUGCCUUAAAAGUGAAUAAAUACAUAUGCACUGAUAUUUUUUCCUUGUUAUACAUACGUUAUACAUCUCGUAUAAUUUAAUUUACACAUUUCAUUCAUGUUUUUUUGUCCUUUUUCCUUUUUCCGCUAUUCUCAUUUCGCUGUUUUCUCCCUCUCUUAGUAUUCAUCACACUGUUUGCAUCCUUCUUUGAAAUGUUCUAACAUUCCUUUUCUUCCUUCAUAUAUUAUCAUCACUGUUAUUAAAAUUUGUUCCUCUUUCUUCGUUACUACGUAUAAACCUUGCUAUUAUCUUUUGAUUUUGUCCAUUACACUCAUUAAUCAUAUAUUUUAAACUUUAAACUUUAAACUAUUGGCAGUGCGUGGUUCCCUCCGAACUUUACGCGCGUGGUUUUCAAUAUACUAAGUUCUCAUUUGAGGCGACGUAAAGUUUAGUUGUGCUCCCUAUAUCAUCGAACAUAUUAUUAUUUAACAAUAACUUCCACUGAAAUAGAUAGUAACGUGACGCCUUCACAGUUCGUAUAAGUUUUGUAUUACUUUGAUACCAUAUGAUAUGUAAGAAUCAACAAAAUUAGCAAAAUUAAGAUAAUUGUGUGAAAGUAAUUUUAUGAAAGUUUGAACAAGAUAAUUUAAUGUCUGCCAUUACACGAGGAAUCAAUGCAAACGCAAACAAGUGACUUCAUCAAAUACAGGGUGCCUGGAGCGAUAUUGAAAAAACUUUUUCUUCAUCAAGAUGUUCGUUAAGGCUUAGUUUUUGAAUUAUUAAUAAAAAACACCGAUAAGUAAAAGCGCACAAGCUCAGCCACUGGAGUGUUAGUUAUACGCCGAUAUUGGUUGUCGUAGAACAAAUAAAAUAUAAAACUAUUGACUUUUAUUUUACGUUGACUUAAAAAAUUUGUAUCAUCGGUAGAUUUAUGCUUAUUAAUAGUGCCGAAUUUUGUAACUAUACAUACUAGCUGAUGUGUACUAUAUUACCGAUGUGGCACUAAUUUGUUUAAUCAUGACUACGGUUAACAUCGACGUAUAGCCAACACUCUCGUGAUUGAACCCGCACACUGUGUGCUUUUAUUGGUCAGUGUUUUUCAUUAAUAAUUCGAAAAUUGGUACAGGAAAAACUUGUUCAGUAUUGUUGAACAACCAACCAACAACUGAAUUUUAUAUUGAUGUUUAUAAUUAUAACGAAAAAGCAGCGACAAUUCAAGAUGCAAAAGACAUAUAAAAGACAAUAGCUUAUUCUAAACUAAGUAAUUUGAAAAGUUGAAAGCAUUUUAGUCUUACAUGUAUUUUAAAUUUUAUACUUUUGCGUGUGCUAUCUGGAAACUGCACCACUAGCGUCAUCUAUCGGCUAAACGUGGAUUUUAACUAAAAAUCCAUUCUUUUUUGUAAAAUAAAACGUUUUGUUAAAUUGCA